GCGGAGGCAGCCCCGCGCCGCGCCGGACCCGAGCAUAUUUCAUUUUCUGUCAUUGGACUUUGAGCCAUUAGAACCAUGAGCAACUACAGUGUGUCACUGGUUGGCCCAGCUCCUUGGGGUUUCCGGCUGCAGGGCGGUAAGGAUUUCAACAUGCCUCUGACAAUCUCUAGUCUAAAAGAUGGCGGCAAGGCAGCCCAGGCAAAUGUAAGAAUAGGCGAUGUGGUUCUCAGCAUUGAUGGAAUAAAUGCACAAGGAAUGACUCAUCUUGAAGCCCAGAAUAAGAUUAAGGGUUGUACAGGCUCUUUGAAUAUGACUCUGCAAAGAGCAUCUGCUGCACCCAAGCCUGAGCCGGUUCCUGUUCAAAAGCCCACAGUCACCAGCGUGUGUUCCGAGACUUCUCAGGAGCUAGCAGAGGGACAGAGAAGAGGAUCCCAGGGUGACAGUAAACAGCAAAAUGGGUAGGUGGCUAAGCCCACCAAGAAAACACAUUGUGGAGCGCUAUACAGAGUUUUAUCAUGUACCCACUCACAGUGAUGCCAGCAAGAAGAGACUGAUUGAGGAUACUGAAGACUGGCGUCCAAGGACUGGAACAACUCAGUCUCGCUCUUUCCGAAUCCUUGCCCAGAUCACUGGGACUGAACAUUUGAAAGAAUCUGAAGCCGAUAAUACAAAGAAGGCAAAGGAAAAGAUACCCCUUCACGUCUUUAGUCCCAAAUACACAAAAUUACGUGACUGGCACCAUGAAGUUUCAGCACGUGCUCUUAACGUACAGUGAUUUAUGAGCCUUGCCCCCCAAGCAGCCAGCACAUACCUUUUCAUUUACUUUUUUUUUUUCAACUUCAUAGCAAAAUCUGUAUUAAAUUUGCCUUAUGAAAAAAUAGAACUUUUUCUAUACUUUUCUAACAAUUUCCUAUUGUUGUGAGAAAAGGAAGAUGAACAUGUUUUGUGCUAGUUGGUAGCUCACAAAUGUAAA
rnacentral:lncRNA from 1 species